UUAGGUSGACCCGCUGAAUUUAAGCAUAUCAUUAAGGGGAGGAAAAGAAACCAACUGGCAUUCCCUUAGUAACGGCGAGUGAACAGGGAGAAGCCCAUCGGUGAAGAAUCGCAAGAUUCGGUGUCCGGUUCGGAUUGGUGCUUAGUUCAUGCUCAUUGAUGCUAGAAAUCUGUUGGAAAACAGUUUCAUAGAGGGUGAAAAACCCGUAUUAGUGUCUUUGUCAUGGACAUCAUGGGCCCAAUCUAAUGAGUAGAGCUAUUUGAAAGUGUAGCUCGAAGUGGAGAUAUGUCUCUCCAAAGGCUAAAUAUAAUUGCAAGUCCGAUAGCGAACAAGUACCGUGAGGGAAAGUUGAAAAGCACUCUGAAGAGAGAGUGAAAAGUACGUGAAACUGUUGAAGGGGAAUUGAAGGGAACGUUACUGUGUUCAUUGCCGUUAAUUUAUUGAUGGCUUCCGAACUGUGGUGUUGCUUUUGAAAGCCUUUGAUAUAGGCCACAGUCACCAAUUGUUUUCGAACUUUUGGUUGAUGUGAGUCAAGAACUUGGAUUAGAUUAAUCCUUGAAUUGUGCAAGUAAAAUCAACAUCAUGAUCAGUGUUCUCUACAACCCGUCUUGAAACACGGACCAAGGAGUUUGAGUUGCUCGCAAGUGAUUGUGCUCUUUGAAAGCAUACACGCGGAAUGAAAGUAAAUAUUGCAUUGUUUCGACUUUGUAAUUACUAUGUGGUGAUAGCACUAGUACAGUGUCUGGCAACCACGGGCGGUCUAACCACUUCGGUGUGUGAUCGACCUAUAGCGAGUAGCUCAAGACCCGAAAGAUGGUGAUCUAUGCUUGGGCAGGGCGAAGCCACGGGAAACCAUGGUGGAGGCCCGAAGCGGUUCUGACGUGCAAAUCGAUCGUCUGACCUGAGUAUAGGGGCGAAAGACUAAUCGAACCAUCUAGUAGCUGGUUUCCUCCGAAGUUUCCCUCAGGAUAGCGAAGGCUUAUGCAAAUCUGCGAAAGCAGUUUCAUUGGGUAAAGCGAAUGAUUAGAGGUCUGGGGGAAUUUAUUUCCUUCACCUAUUCUCAAACUUUAAAUCGGUGAGAUGUCCUUGUGACUUAAUUGCACUCGGACUUUGAAUGCAAGCCUUCAGUGGGCCGUUUUUGGUAAGCAGAACCGGCGAUGUGGGAUGAACCAAAUGUUGGGUUAAGGCGCCUAACUACUUGCUCAUGAGUAACCACAAAAGGUGUUGAUUGAUAUUGACAGCAGGACGGUGGCCAUGGAAGUUGGAAUCCGCUAAGGAGUGUGUAACAACUCACCUGCCGAAUCAAUCAGCCCUGAAAAUGGAUUGCACUAGAGCUCGUGGCCUAUACCCAGCCGUGAAUGUCAAUUUCUGUCAAGUUGCGGUCUUUUUGACUGUGCAAGAUGGAAUAUGAUUGAUGCGUAAUCAGUAGAUUGCGUGGAUGGAACAUUCAUGAGUAGGAGGACGCAGUAAUUGCGUUAAAGGAUACGCGUGAGCGUGUUCCCUAAGCGAUUACUGGCGCAGAUCUUGGUGGAAGUAGCAAGUACUCAAAUGAGAACUUUGAGGACUGAAGUGGAGAAGGGUUCCAA
rnacentral:rRNA from 1 species